rnacentral:rRNA from 1 species
UACGGAGGGUGCAAGCGUUGCUCGGAAUUAUUGGGCGUAAAGCGCGUGUAGGCGGUUAUCUAAGUCUGAUGUGAAAUCCUGGGGCUUAACCCCAGAACUGCAUUGGAUACUGGAUAGCUAGAGGGCAGAAGAGGAUGGUGGAAUUCCUGGUGUAGGGGUGAAAUCCGUAGAUAUCAGGAGGAACAUCAGUGGCGAAGGCGGCCAUCUGGUCUGUACCUGACGCUGAGACGCGAAAGCGUGGGGAGCAAACAGG